UACAUGUACAGAGGUAUAACUGUUGGUUUCAUCAACCCACCAUACUCUGCCAGAUAGGACAAAGGACGAAUGGUAUUCACUGUGGGAGUGACUAGUGGUCAUACAUUAAACAGAGAUAUUGAGUUGUCCUUCUCAACUGUUGACGGUCUGAUAGCAGAUUUCCCCGCUAUUGCUGGUCAGGAACUACACUUCGGUUAUCGACAUGUCAUUCAUUCUGAGUGCAGGCAUGCAAACUAUACAGAUUUCAGUUAAUUUGAAUCCUGAUCAACUGUACGAGAAUAAUGAGAUGUUUCAAGGCAUACUAAGCCUCAUUACUACGGACAGAGUGUCCCUGAGUCCAGGCACUGCCGAUGCUACCAUUAUCGAUGGCGGAGAGGUGACUGUUGGUUUCAUCAACCCACCAUACUCUGCCAGGGAGGACGAAGGACAAAUCAUAUUCACUGUGGGAGUGACUAGUGGCCAUAUAUUAGACAGAAAUAUUGAGUUGUCCUUCUCGACUGCGGACGGUCUGAUGGCAGGUAAGACCAUUGUAGUUAGUUACAAGAACUACAGAACAGUGAUUUUAUUUACUAGAUAAGUUUGUACGUGAGUGAA